rnacentral:rRNA from 1 species
GAUGAACGCUGGCGGCGUGCCUAAUACAUGCAAGUCGAGCGAACAGACGAGGAGCUUGCUCCUCUGACGUUAGCGGCGGACGGGUGAGUAACACGUGGAUAACCUACCUAUAAGACUGGGAUAACUUCGGGAAACCGGAGCUAAUACCGGAUAAUAUAUUGAACCGCAUGGUUCAAUAGUGAAAGACGGUUUUGCUGUCACUUAUAGAUGGAUCCGCGCCGCAUUAGCUAGUUGGUAAGGUAACGGCUUACCAAGGCAACGAUGCGUAGCCGACCUGAGAGGGUGAUCGGCCACCGGUGAACUGAGACCGGGCCCAGCCCCCGAGGGGAGGCAGCAGUAGGGAAUCUUCCGCAAGGGGCGAAAGCCUGACGGAGCAACGCCGGGGGAGUGAUGAAGGUUUUCGGUUCGUAAAACUUUUUUAUUAGGGAAAAAAAAAUGUGUAAGUAACUUUGCACGUUUUGACGGUACCUAAUCAAAAAGCCCCGGCUAACUACGG